GCAUUGCUGGGGAGUCCCAUACUAGGACGAAACGGCCGUCCAGUGC
rfam:Schistosoma curassoni strain Dakar, Senegal genome assembly, scaffold: SCTD_scaffold0014693